AGGGUAAAAUCUUAAUUUGCAAUUAUAAAAUAUUGAUAAAAUAAUAAUCAAUUUACCUUA
rnacentral:tRNA from 1 species